UGAUUUUUCAGUAAACUUUAUGAAGUGUCAGUUCCUUGGGCAGAAUCUGCUCUUUGGACUUGGAGAUGACCGCCAGGAAAUCACUUCCUUUGAGACAUACCCCAUGCUCUCUUAUUUCAUGGGGGAGUCCAGAAGUAUUUAAAAUGUUAGUGAGUGAGUUCUGUUGUUGCCGCCGUACUGCAAGGCGAGGGUCACGGGGCGUUUCUCCCCAUUGUACAGAAGGAGAUACUGAGGCCCAGAGAGAGUUGCUCGCAAAGCUGUGGGUCUGCUGGCAGCUGGGAGGGAGGCGCCUCUGCUUGUAAGCUCUCAAGGCUGCGAGUGAGCUGUAGGCAGUCUGUCUGUGUCUUUGUGAGGCGCCCGUGAGAUUAGCCACUGAGCAGAGGUUUAAUUUAUGAUGGCGCCUAGUAUUCUCGUCCUGCUGCCUUCUAGAAUCUGCUGCAUCACUGGAGUUGCCGGGCUCCCAGGGGUGUCUUAAGUCUCAUAAGUAAUCUGUGUCUCAGCCAUGUUCGAGGCAGCCUCAUGCAGGGGACGGGCCUCAAGGAGUGGCUCUGCACCGAGGCUCAGGCCAGGCUCAGAUUUGCCCAGACCGAGAGGGGAGCCAAAAUCUGUGCCUUCCCAAUAUGUUCCGGGUGCUGCAGGGGUGCUGGGUGAACAAGAACUGGGCCUGUCUGCAGCUGCUCAGCCUCAAGCACACAGGACAGAAUGAAUUCAGGACAGAGUCUAAGAAGAGGCUGCAAGGGACCAGGCCCUGUCUCUCUGGGAAGCCGAGGCCACUCUCCGCCCCCUCUCUUUUCUGUGUCUCCACCAUAAAGUACUCGUUGAGUAAAUGAAUGAAUCAGAUGCGCUGCCUCGAGGGCCCCGCCUCCCUCCCGGCCGGUGUGGGUGUGCAGAUGGAUGAGCUCAGGUUUGGACGUGACUCAGAAGGAAGGUAGUGGGGAAAUACAAGGUGGUGAUCUCAUGUGGCAUUAAACAGAGCUGGGAACAUGAAGUGUGUGUACGCUUCUCUUUUCGUCAUUUCUCUCCUCAUUUCAGACCCCCUGGCAACAGUCUGCCAGGAUGAGACUAUGGGGCAGCCAGAGGAGAGAAAACCGGCUCCAUUUUCACCCGCCUGUGAGUUCUCAGGGACCAUUCCAUCUUCUGCACGUGGAGCGUGGGAGAGGGGCAGAGGCCGUCACUACACAGCCCACCUUCAGUGCUCUGUCUUCCUCCUUAGUCUGCAGAAGGUACCCACUCUGUUUCGGGUGGGUGUGGGCAGGUUGACCUCAGGGCUGGGGGAAGGUUUGAUUGACUUUGGCAUUCUCUGAGAGAGGAGUGGAAGAAGCCCCUGCUUUAGAAGUCAGGGCAGAGAGAGGGAGUUCAUGUGAUCUGGUGGAAAGGCCUUUGGCUUAGAAAGGAGAAGCUCUGAUUUCUAGUUCUGGUUUGGAUAUUAGUUUGGUGUCCUGGGGAAAGUCCUUUAUCCCCUAGAUCUCAGCUUCUCCACCUGUCACAUGGGCAACACGUGUACCUGCCCUCCCAACACGUGUACACGCCCAGAGUGGCCAUAAGGACCACGUGAGUUAAUGGUAUGACAGCCUGGGAAAAGUGAAAAAUGCUGAUAAAAGUAAUGUGAUCCAUUAUUAGUAACAAACCCUGUGAACACUCAGCACCAUAGGCAUCAGUCCGGAUGUGGGAAUCACAGCUAGAAAAGGCCUAGAUCCCUGCCCGGGCAUUUGGGAAAGGCUUCCAUGCCUGUGAGCUUGUUGGAGGAGUGGGAACCAUGCGAGUGAGUUUGGAAGACUUAUCAAGGAGGCAGUUUUGAAUGACAUUUGAAGGCAGGAAGAAGAUCGUAUCAGGUGUCAGGGUGGGCAGGGUGGCUUCCU